rnacentral:rRNA from 1 species
AUGCGCUUCAGUGCUCCUGUGGGUGCAGUUCAUGAGCGCGCCGGCGACGACGGCAGCAAUGCAGUGCACUCUGGUAGUUGCCGUGGUGCACUCUGGUGGUCGUUGUGGUACAGCUCAGUGGCUGGCCAGUGUGUUCCAUUUUCUUUUGCAGUUCCCUGGUCGUGCAGCUUGGUGACGCGCCAGGUGCAGUCAGCUGAGCGACACUCUUCUCCAAGCAAGAAGAGGAGGGCGAUCUUGGUUCCCUGUCCCUGUGCAGUACAGGCGAUGCGCCUGUGCGGUGCGGAGCACAUGUGCAAGUCCGUCGGCCAUGCGUGUAGUACAGGUCGCAUAGUGGUGUAG